rnacentral:rRNA from 1 species
AUGCCGCAGAGAAAUUGCCGGCCUCCGUCGGGGAAGAAACCCAACCUCCAGGAGGGGAAGUCUGCUACCGCUGCCGGGAAACCAGGUCAGCAGGGGGCGAUCAAAUCAAACCAAGAGAACCAAGCCCAAGUUGUUCCUCCGGCAGCUGCAGCCCCACAGCCUCCUCCACCUCCCCCAGUGGUACAACCUCUUGAUACAAAAUACAAGGAUAUGAUCUGCUUCAAUUGCAGUUGGCCUGGUCACUAUGUGGGGAACUGUGUGGAGCCAAAAUGUUUUAUCUGCACUGGGAACCACAAUGUCAACAAUUGCGCUGCUUGGGCGAAACCAGAACCUGCUGCCACUUAUUUUGGUAGUGCUGCUUCUGGACUGGGCUUUUAUCAUAUUGAAGUUCCUAUGGCGACCGAAUCCAGUUGGCUAAAUUACAAAAAUUGCGUUGUUCUUAAGGUGGUCAAGGGGGAGGUUUCUGCCUCUGAUCUGCUAACACAACUGAAUGGAAUCUUUUGUAAGAACAAGGAGUGUCCAUGGCAAAUCAAAGAGCUAGAAAACAAGAAAUUCCUAUUGACAUUUCCACCUUGGAAGAAUGUGGAUGACCUAAUUGAAUUCCCUCCUUUUGAGCUGCCUAUUGCUGGAGUAUCUGUCAAGAUUUGUGAAUGGGAAGGUAUGUUGGAUGAGUUUGGAGCACUUACUGAAGCCUGGGUGCAGAUUGAAGGAAUUCCACUGUGGUGUGCCUGGAAAGUCUUUGCCUAGAUCACUGCAUGUUUUGGUAUCCUUGUGGAUGUGGACUGGAAUGGUAUUUUCAAGAGCUUUUAUGAAACUAUUCGAGUUAAAGUUGCCUGUAGAGACCCAAGGAAGAUUCCUUUUGAGAGAUUGGUGGAGAUGAAAAAGAAACUUUACCUGUUGUUUUUUACAGUAGAAGGUUUUGAGCAGAAUGGUGAGGACUCUGAUGGAGGUGAUGAUGAUCCAGGUCUGGACAAUCUUGAAGGAAAUGAUGGAAAUAACAGUAAAGAGGCUGAGGAUAAAGAGGGUAUGGAAGAAGAUGAUGAUGAGGCAAUUGAUGAAUUGACAAGGCCACCUAUCAAGACAGCUACCUCAUCUAGCUCGAACAAACCCAUAUCUCAAGUGACUGCUUCUGUAGUGGAAGUCCACCCAGUUAGCUCGAUGAAUGCAAUGCAAGUAAUGAUUUCUGAUGACCUCAAAGUUUGGACACCGAUGAAAGUUGAUGGAGAUGAAACUGAACCUUCAAGAUUUGAAAAAAAUGAUGCUCUGUCAGUCCAUCUGGACUACUGUUCCGAACAUCUUAGCAAGUUUGAGAUGGAGGAAUCUGAUGUGGAAGAAGAAAACAUCAAUAUGGAAACGGAAUGUUUACCAGAAGAUCUAACUUUGGCAAUGAAUUUAGUUAAAAGAUCACUGCUAGACUCUCUGGAAAGAGCAGACACUGUGGUCAAGAAAAAAACUCAACAUCAAAAACUCACCUACCUGGGGCUCAGUGCUUGCUGA